rnacentral:rRNA from 1 species
UACGUAGGGGGCAAGCGUUGUCCGGAUUUAUUGGGCGUAAAGAGCGUGUAGGCGGCUUCACAGGUCCGCUGUGAAAACUCGAGGCUCAACCUCGAGCUGUCGGUGGAAACCGUGUGGCUAGAGUCCGGAAGAGGAGAGUGGAAUUCCCGGUGUAGCGGUGAAAUGCGCAGAUAUCGGGAAGAACACCAAUGGCGAAAGCAGCUUUCUGGGACGGUACUGACGCUGAGACGCGAAAGCGUGGGGAGCGAACAGG